rnacentral:rRNA from 1 species
UACAGAGGUCUCAAGCGUUGUUCGGAUUCAUUGGGCGUAAAGGGUGCGUAGGCGGCGCGGUAAGUCGGGUGUGAAAUCUCGGAGCUUAACUCCGAAACUGCAUUCGAUACGGGCAGGCUAGAGUUCGGUAGGGGAGACUGGAAUUCCUGGUGUAGCGGUGAAAUGCGCAGAUAUCAGGAGGAACACCGGUGGCGAAGGCGGGUCUCUGGGCCGAUACUGACGCUGAGGAGCGAAAGCGUGGGGAGCGAACAGG